GUUAAUGACGGAUAGAGAUGUGAAUUCUUAACUCACAUGGAAAAGGACAGUAAAUCUGCUCACAAUUAUGCUGCAAAAUGUUAUGAUAAUCUGAAGAAUAAGCCAUGCCAUGUGGAACAAUUACUGGUGAAGCAAACAGAAGGGGAUAUCAAAAGGAAUAGGUUGCGGCUUAGACUAACCAUUGAUUCAAUACGG
rnacentral:rRNA from 1 species